CCCUUAGAUGUCCUGGGCUGCACGCGCGCUACACUGACGAUGUCAGAGAGUGUCUCCUUCACCGAGAGGUGUGGGUAAUCUUUUAAACAUCGUCGUGCUGGGGAUAGAUCAUUGCAAUUUUUGAUCUUAAACGAGGAAUUCCUAGUAAGCGCGAGUCAUCAGCUCGCGCUGAUUACGUCCCUGCCCUUUGUACACACCGCCCGUCGCUACUACCGAUUGAAUGGUUUAGUGAGGCCUUCUGACUGGCGCCGCUACUCUGGCAACAGAGCGGCGGAUGCCGGGAAGUUGGUCAAACUUGAUCAUUUAGAGGAAGUAAAAGUCGUAACA
rnacentral:rRNA from 1 species